UACAGAGGUCUCAAGCGUUGUUCGGAUUCAUUGGGCGUAAAGGGCGCGUAGGCUGCGGGGCAAGUCGGGUGUGAAAUCCCGGGGCUCAACCUCGGAACUGCCUUUGAUACUGCAAAUCUCGAGUCCGGAAGAGGUGAGUGGAAUUCCUAGUGUAGAGGUGAAAUUCGUAGAUAUUAGGAAGAACACCAGUGGCGAAGGCGGCUCACUGGUCCGGUACUGACGCUGAGGUGCGAAAGCGUGGGGAGCAAACAGG
rnacentral:rRNA from 1 species